GAUUAGAAUUAAAUUUAUUAAAUACAUUUAUUAAAUUAAGUAGAUUAAAUAAAUUAAAUUUAUUAAAAAAAUAGAUUAUAAUGGAAUUUUAAUUCCAUUACAAUCCAAACAGAGCCUCUCUCUGUUUAUUAUUUAGGUUGUCACUAUCAUAAAAUUUCAGGACACCAGAGAUAAAAAGAAGAGAAUGGAGUUCUCCAGAGUGAAUGCAGAGACAUUUCACACACACACACACACACACACACACACACACACACACACACACAAUACAUAUGUAUGUAUUUAUUUGGGAUCAGAAUGACAUAGGAUUCUCAAUGAUGACAUUGAAAGCUGGGACAAUGAAACAAGAGCUUCAAAAUUCUGGGGAAAAUUAUUUUCAGCCUAGAAAUUUAUGCCUUCCAAACAAUCAAGCAUGAGGAUAAGAAAAAAAAGAGUUUUUUAGACUUUCAUAUUUCAAAAUAAUUACCUUUGAUGCAGACUUUUUCUUUGUUCUAGUAAAAAGAAAGAAUGGACUAAAACAGAGGAAGAAAAUCCAGAAAAGGAGGACUCCAAUCCAGAUUAAAGGAAUUUCCAAAAUGGUGGCUGAGACAAAACCUGGGGUUCAAGUCAUGUUACAGAGAUGGUGUUCCAGAUUAGUGCAGAAUAGUGGGCUCAAGAAGAAAUGCCUUCAAGAAAAGAUUGAAACCAACACACUACAAGUUUGACAUUGGAAAAGUUGAAUUGAAGAGUUGUUGGAAGGUGUCAGCUUGACUGGAUUCAGGAAUAUCCAGAUAAGUGAUAAAGCAUUAUUUCUGGGUAUGUCUGUGAGGGUGUCUCUGGAAGAUACUUGAAUCACAGGACUGAAUAAGGAAGAGCUGCCCUCAGCGUGGCCGGGCAACAUCUAAUCGGCUGAAAGCUUGGAUCGAAUGAAAAGGCAGAGGAAAGGUGAAUUUUCUUUUUAUCCUGGAGCUGGACACCCUGUUUCUCCUGCCUGUGGACAUCAGAAUUCUAGGCUCUGUGGCAUUUCAACUGUAAAACUUGCACUAGUAGCCAGCUGGUUUCUCAAGUCGUUGGCUUCAAAACUGAGAAGUACAGCAUUCUCUUCCCAGGUUCUGAAGACCUCAAAUGGACUGAGCCACACUACCAGCAUCCAGCAUCCAUGGUUCUCCAGUCUGCAGAUGGCCUAUUAUGGGACUUUUCAGUCUUCAUAAUUAUAUGAGAGAAAGAAAAUGAAAAGGAUUUGUAAACUAUAAAUCUCUAAACAGAUGGGAGGAAAGGAAUUGAUGAAACAAUAAAUUUAUUGAUGAAACAAUAAAAAUAAACAUAAAGAACCAAAGGUAGGUUUGGACAUUCAUUAAUUUACUCUUGUAAUAUUUAUUGAGUAGCUUGUAUGUGGUAGGUACCAUACUCAGGGCGGGAGAUUAGUGAUGAACAAGACAGAUGAGCUCCCACAACUCACCACAUCUUGCUGCCAGACAGGAGAGACAUAAGUUACACAUGUAAGCAAACAGUUAAUAUCCCUAUAAAAAGUGCUAUGGAGAAAAGAAGCAGGACACUAAGAGAGAAAGAAACAAGGAAAACCAACACAGUAAAUUUUUCUGGCUGAGGAAACUAAGCCUGGAGGGUGGGAUGGAGUUAGACCAGCAAAUAAAGGGGUAUGCAGGAAUGUCCAAAGCAAAAACAACUCAAGGAUGACAAGUGUGGCAAGAGCACUUAACAGAAACCUGUGAUAGCAGACAUGUAAGCUAUGAAAGGGGUUUGACUUUGAUUCUAAGUGCAAGGAAAGCCACUGAAGGCUUUUAAGCAGGAGAGUGACGGGAUUUAGAAUUAUGCUUUAGAAAAUUCAUUUUUACUCUUUGAUUGUGAGGGUCAAGAAUGGAAAGAGGAAGCUACUGCAGAGGACCAGGAGAGUGAUGAUGAUGGCUUAGAUUAAGGGACAGGCUUUUCUGUCUAGUUUUCUGUCUAGUAAAACUAGACAGAAACUAGAGCCUUCUUGCUUGUUCCCUGAUAAGAUAAGCAAUGCUAAUAAACUAAGUCUAAAUAGAACGUAUGCCUUUUCUUGCAUUUCAAUGUAUUUUAAUUUCUUUGUUAAUAACAAUUAACCACUUGUACAGAAGAGUCGAGGCAUUGAGGUGUAAGAGAACUAGAAAUAAUUCUCUCAUAAGCAGUAGAAAUAGUAGGAAUUAGGUUCAAGACACAUGUUGGAGGUGGAAUUAAGAGGAUUUGUUGAUAGAAUAAUAAUAAUUGGGAAGGAGAAAAAGGUAAUUCUAAGGUUUCUAGCUUGAGCAACUAGGAGGGGGAUUCUGCUAUUUACAGAAAUGGGGAAGCUGGAACAUGUUUCUAAGGGAAAUAAAAAUAUACCUUUAUGGCAUGUUAAAUUUUGACAUCCAAAUGAAACUAUCAACAACGCAGUUAGCUAGGCAAUCAAAGAAUGAGCUAAAGAAAUAUGAGAGUCAUGACAGUACAGAUUCAUUCUUCCAACUGCCCACUGGCCUAGAUUGGGUGAAAAGCCAUCAACCCAUGUCACUUUAGGCUGCCAAGCUUAGACAUGCCAUGCAUGAUUGGCCGAGUAAGUGGUUUUCUUUUCAGGCCAGGAUCAAGCCUUUUUCAUUUACUUUCAAAUG
rnacentral:lncRNA from 1 species